rnacentral:rRNA from 1 species
GAAACCGCGAAUGGCUCAUUAAAUCAGUUAUGGUUCCUUAGAUCGUUCAUACUACAUGGAUAACUGUGGUAAUUCUAGAGCUAAUACAUGCAAAAAGCUCCGACCGUAUGGGAAGAGCGCUUUUAUUAGACCAAAACCAAUGGGGUCGCAAGAUCCCUUUGUAUGGUGACUCUGGAUAACUUUGUGCUGAUCGCAUGGCCUCGAGCCGGCGACGUAUCUUUCAAGUGUCUGCCCUAUCAACUUUCGAUGGUAAGCGAUUUGCCUACCAUGGUUGUAACGGGUAACGGGGAAUCAGGGUUCGAUUCCGGAGAGGGAGCAUGAGAAAUGGCUACCACAUCUACGGAAGGCAGCAGGCGCGCAAAUUACCCACUCCUAGAACGGGGAGGUAGUGACGAAAAAUAACAAUACCGGACUCAAUGAGGCUCGGUAAUUGAAAUGAGUACAGUUUAAAACCCUUAACGAGGAUCUAUUGGAGGGCAAGUCUGGU